AAAUUGAAGAGUUUGAUCAUGGCUCAGAUUGAACGCUGGCGGCAGGCCUAACACAUGCAAGUCGAACGGUAACAGGAAGCAGCUUGCUGCUUUGCUGACGAGUGGCGGACGGGUGAGUAAUGUCUGGGAAACUGCCUGAUGGAGGGGGAUAACUACUGGAAACGGUGGCUAAUACCGCAUAACGUCGCAAGACCAAAGAGGGGGACCUUCGGGCCUCUUGCCAUCAGAUGUGCCCAGAUGGGAUUAGCUUGUUGGUGAGGUAACGGCUCACCAAGGCGACGAUCCCUAGCU
rnacentral:rRNA from 3 species